CACGAAGCAAUUUGAGCUAAUUUAGGACAUUUAUUAGGAUAUAGUAUGUUGCAUAAUACUAAAGUGAUUAUAAAUUAGGGGUGACAUUCCUUUCAAAUUUUGCGAUAUCUUGAUGCAACCGACAAGUAUUUAGUACAGUUACAGUCAAUAAGUGCUUAGGUUUAUUGAAAAUAUGAACAAUUAUUAAGAAAGCUUGUAAGGUAUAAUAAUUAACUACUUUAUUUUUAUAUUAUUAUUAUAUAUAACUUAUAUACAAUAGGGUGCUACAAAUAAUUGUGUUAUAGUUACUUAAUGUUAUUAUUAGUAAUAAAUAGAUAUUUACAAUGAACUUGGCAAUUUAUCUUUCAACUGUUUAUCAAAAACAUAGUUAUCAGAAGUUAUUGAUAAUUUGUUCUGCUCAAUGAAUAAUUAAAUAGCCGCAGUACUCUGACUGUGCAAAGGUAGCAUAAUCAUUUGGCUUAUAAUUGAAGUCUUGUAUGAAUGAAAUGAUGGGGGACAACUGUAUCAUAAAUAUUGUAUAAAAUUACCUGAGAAGUGCAAAUGCUUCUAUUUAGAUAAUAGACGAGAAGACCCUUGAAAUUUUAAGAAGAGUGUUAAUAAGGAUUUUUGUUGGGGCAACAAUGUAACAAAAAACUUACAUUUUGAACAUGAAAUAAAAUGGAUUGAUUAAAUUACUCUAGGGAUAACAGCGUAAUAUUAAAAUGUUUGCGACCUCGAUGUUGGAUUAGGAAACAAAAGCCUAG
rnacentral:rRNA from 1 species